AAUAAUACUCUUUCCUUUUCACCUUCCACACUUUGAAAAAAUCAGACCUAAUUUUCUCUCUGACAUGGUUGGAGCGUCGAUUUCAAAAGCUUCCGGCCAAGGAAAUGGAUCUCACACCAUUCUCCCGCAAAAGAGACAGCUUUCUUCUUUAUCUCCCAGUGACAGAACGAAUAGAGAGGGUAAGAAACGCUCGACGAUGCUAAUGGAUCUUGAGAUUCUCGAUUGUCCCAUUUGCUGCGAAGCCUUCACAAUUCCUAUCUUCCAUUUGACCCGACAUCUAACAUUCAUCUUGUUUCAGCCCAGAGAAGAGAGAGAGAAAGCAAGAAAGAAAGAAAGAAAGAGAGAGAGAUUGCUUAGAUCUAGAGCCAACGAUAGCGAGCCCAUGUAUCUCUCUCUCUCUUUCUCGCAUCACAGCGAACCCUCUGUCAGACGAGAAUUCAUGGAAUCCAAAGCAAACAGAGGAUCCCUCUUUCUCGCAUCACGUCAUAUCGCCGCCGCAAACAUCGGCAAAGAUUUGUCAUUUUAUGGGUGUGGUUCAUCGAGAUCUCAAGCCUGAGAAUUUAUUGCUUUCUAGUAAAGAGGUGAAUGCUAUGCUUAAAGCUACUGAUUUUGGGUUGUCUGUCUUCAUCGAAGAAGAUUUGUGACUUAUGUUCCAAUGCAUAGGGAUCCUCUGAUAAUCACGAGAGAUGCAUCCUUACUAAGCUCAAGCAAGCAACAAUGUAGUGGACACGUUACUUCUAAGAUGAAGGGCAUGGGGAGAGACAUUUAACCAUAAUGCUUUGGAGGAUGCACAGCAACAUGCAAAUCCUAAUAUGAGUAUUAUGCUAAUUGGGAACAAAUGCGAUCUUGCUCACAAGAGAGCUGUUAGCAAAGAGGAAGGAGAACAGUUUGUCAAGGAACAUGACCUGCUAUUCUUAGAAGCACCUGCAAGAACAGCUCAAAACGUCGAAGAGGUGACACUGAUUCUUUGAAAAUAUAUGUGUGAUAAUUUAAUUUUGUGUUUACAUUACUUGCCAGUUUAGGCUACACAGACAUGGUGUGCAUAGUUUUUGUAUUUUUACUUUCAAGUUUGUUUGUGAAACAUUUGGAUAUCUAGUUAAGAUAUUUUGUAUGACUAUUUGAGUCUUUUGGAAAUGUAAGAUAAGAAUGCUUGUGGUAAUUGAAAAUAUUGGUAUUGGGAUUUA